ACCAGGGGGCUGUUGGAGUGCCCCAUGAGCGAUCUUAGCUUCUCUGAGCCACAACACAUGCUCCUGUGGGUGACCUUUGGCCCUUGACCUCAUGCGUUCAAUGGGAACACCCUCCUCACCUUGCCUGUCUCUUCAGGAUCCAGCCAAGGCAAAAGUUCUACAGAAUAAGAACAAAGGGAAGCUUCUGAAUAAAGAAGCCUUGGCAGAAGAGCUUGGGAUAAGAUAGGAGAGGCUCACCAACGCAAGGACACUCACAAAUGCCACGCUGUAGAACACACAUUGAAACUGAGGCUCGGGGAAGAAGGGAAUGCAGUAGCCUGACCAUGAACACAGACACAGCUGCAACAACAAGGCUCAGAUUCGACUCCAAGCUGCUUGGCUGUUGAAGCAAAAGAGAAGUUAUGUCCAGUCUUCUUGGUCUCACAGCUUCCAGUCACUCCUGCAGUGGUGGCUGUGACAGCAGGGAUCCACAGGUGCCUAGAACUCUGAGGGAGGAGAAACUUCUCCAAUAGCAUAGCUAUGGUCCUGAGAAAGGAAACCCCUUGAAAGUGAAGGUACAGGAAUAAAAGCCAACAAGGGAAAGAGAUAAACGCAAAGAAAGUGGAAGACUGACUUAGCAGAGUAGAGAAGGCCAAAACCUACAGAGCCAACAGCAAGAAAGCCAGUGAGAAGCAAGCCAAUUUGUGCUACAGAACCUUGGAAAAGCUCAGGAGGUAAAGGGGACAGAAUGCGAUAAGCUGGACAUGAGAAAUUGAAAAUGAGAAUUCCUUGAAAGUCUACUUGGGAGCAAUGAACCCCUCAGGUCUGCUUCACCGCCUUUCAAAACCAGAAAAGCACUCCUCUUAUACCUGCGCAGGGGGCAGAAAGUUGCCUUUCUGGAGAUUGGGACACCAGGUACUGGGAUUUGUGUCAUAACACAACCUGGGUAAUUAAAUCUCUACUCAA